rnacentral:misc_RNA from 1 species
GAUGAAGAACGUAGCGAAAUGCGAUAAGUAAUGUGAAUUGCAGAAUUCAGUGAAUCAUCGAAUCUUUGAACGCACAUUGCGCCCGCCAGUAUUCUGGCGGGCAUGCCUGUCUGAGCGUCAUUUCAACCCUCAUGCCCCUAGGGCGUGGUGUUGGGGAUCGGCCAAAGCCCGCGAGGGACGGCCGGCCCCUAAAUCUAGUGGCGGACCCGUCGUGGCCUCCUCUGCGAAGUAGUGAUAUUCCGCAUCGGAGAGCGACGAGCCCCUGCCGUUAAACCCCCAACUUUCCAUGGUUGACCUCAGAUCAGGUAGGAAUACCCGCUGAACUUAAGCAUAUCAAUAAGCGGAGGA